rnacentral:ncRNA from 1 species
AAAAGUAGAGGUUGCGAUUAUUAUCAGUACAGAUGACGAGCAGGCAUGCGUCCGAGCCAUCUGGAAAGGAAUGAUCGCCGAAGGAUAUUUUCGGCGGAAGAUAUCCUGGGACCGGAUUGAAUAGAUCCGGUACUGUCAUUAUGAUGAUGCGCUACA